rnacentral:lncRNA from 1 species
AAAAAUUAAAAAAAAAAAAAUAAUAUAAAAUAUUCCUUUGAUACACAAAAUCAAAUUGAUAUUUAGCCUCUGCUUACUUUUUUAUGCAUGGCUCCCUUCGCCGCGCGGUAGUGACAGAUUGUUUGAGCUGGGAGGAAAAGCCAUUCAGAGCUAAUUAAGCAGCCAUUCCGGGCACUAUUUGCAAGCGGGAGGCUGCAAAGCAGAGGCAUUUGUCAGCGCUCCGCCCCACGUGGCUUUGAUUGACAGCUCCGCCGCCCGAGUGGCAGCCGCGCCGCCGCCGUCCAAUGGGGUGGCGGGAGGAGACAGCACCGUGCUCUGAUUGGUCGGAGGGGGGUUUGAGUGACAGCUGCCCCACGUGGGGCGGGGAGGCUCCGGGUGACGCGCGGCGCGGGAGCCAUUUUGUGCCGCCGGGAUGGGGCUGCGGGGCUCGGCUGGGAAUGGGGCCGGGAUGGGGACGGGACCGGGGCUCCCCCGAGCACUACGGGGCUGGGACCGGCGGUGGAGCCCGGUAGCUCCCUGAGAAGGGGUUCAGCGGGGCUUGCAGCCGCUCCCGGGGCUCCUUUUCCCUUUGUGCCAACCAUUUUCCCCGCGUUCAACCUCAAACAGCGUGAAAAAAUUUUAAAAUCGGGCAAAAAAACAAAAAAAAACACCCCAAACCGGCAGCCCCGCAGCCUCCCGCUCGGGGCCGUCCCGGUGCCGCCCGGUGGCGGGGCCGCCCCUCCCGCGCUGCCCAUUGUGACGUCCCUUACGGCGGCGUCCAAUCAGCGGCCUCCCCCUCCGCCCCCACGUGGGUUCCCCGCGCUGCCAUUGGCUGCCUGAGCUCCGAGGCCGCCCGGGCUGCUGGCCCCGCCCAGCGGCGGGCGCGCUCCGGUGGCGGCGGCGCGGGCCGCGUGCUCCGGGGCUGCCCCAGUCCGCGCGCGGCGGCGGCACCGAGCGGCGGGAGCCGGCCCCGGGGAGCGCCCCCCAGACACCGCGACCCCGCCGCGACCCCGACCCCCCGGAUCUCUUCUUCUUCCCCUCGGCCCCCCCAAGCCCAGCAUGGCCCGAGGAGCCCCGGCGCCGCCGCUGCCGCCGUUCCGGAGCUGAACCGAGAGCCGGGAGGAGCGGAGCGGAGCGGCCGGUGCCGUCGCUCGGAUGUGUACGGCCUUCUCCCCCUCCUCCUCCUCUCCUCCAUGGCCGUCGUGCUCCGCCUUCUCGGCCUCUCCGGGAGCGCUCCGUGGCCGGCGGGCAGCAGCGCACGUCGCGAUCGUCGCGGCUGGCUCCAGUGACCGCGCCCCAGCCCGGCCAUGUACCCCCAGGGCCGGCACCC